AAAAGGAAGUCCAGCUGCCUUUUGAAAAAGCACCUUUGGGAGUUUCUUAAAAUUGUUGAUUGUUGGUAAUCAAUCUACCAACCAAGCAACUGAUUGACCACUAGAUGGCAGCAAAGAUUUAGUUGCAUUUCUUUGUUGCCAUCUGGUGGUGGAAAGUUGCCAACAUUUACCUACUGUACAGUAUAAAUAUUAUGGAAGGUCUGAGAAAAAGUUUUUGCUAUAUGUCAUGGAUAAAUAUAUUGUUCUGCAUUUCAAAAUAUAGCCUAAAACUGAUCAUGGAAGCCAUAAUGGUCUCCUGCAGAGCUAAAACAGCACUGGCUCACAAGUGCUGCGCCCAGCAACCAGGUGAAGGGGUUGGUUCCAUGAUGGCCCAAUUGCAACCAAGCAGAUCAUCAAUCCUGGUCACAUCAAGCACCUCUUUAUCCCUAGGAUGUCCACACCAGUCCACAUCCGCAAGUUUUUACAAUUAUUCAAAAUAGCUACCAAAUUAUCUACUUCAGGGAAAAGCAUUACUCUUAUAAAGAUCAGUAGUAACUACUAUUGUUUCUUUCUUCCCCUUAAUUAAAAUAUGACAUUAUCACAGUGAAUAUAUAAAUUAGGCUGGGGAGAAGCUUAGAAGAAUAUAAUAAAACACUUCAAUUUUUUCCAACUUCCAAAACAUAUUUUGUCCCUAUUCUUCCUUCACUUUCUCUCUCUUUAUCUUUUCUCUUAUCUUAUCUGCAUAGCAUUACAGAAAAACAUGUAUUUACAAAAAAAAGUCACUUCACUCCUAUAAUACUCUAGCCCAAAGAUGACUAACCUUUUUUUUCUCAGGUGUGUGUGGGUGCCCACACCCAUAAUGCAAUUCCCCCCGCGUGCUUCCCCUGCACAUACGCAAGCAACUGUCUCAGACUGCCCCCCUGCACAUAGGCACGCAACCCCCCCCCUGCGCUCCCCCCCCCCCGUGCAUGCAAACCCCCAUGCCCCGUUUUGGGCCUAGCAUGCCUCCCUGAAGCCUCCAGAGGCCGGAAACUAACAAAAUGUGGACACCACUGUCAUAAUUAAACUAAUUCAGUACAAACAUCCUUUUUCCAAUUCUGUAUUUUAUCCAUUUGCUCAAUAACAACUAUGAUAUAAUGUGGCUUCUGAGGAUACAGGAAUGGUCGGAAGCCAAAUAUUCUUCCAAAGAAUAGCCUGCUCAAGCUUUAAAUGUGAAAUGUGGUAUUUUUCAGAUUGUUGGACUAGAAAUCCCAUACCUGUGGAUUAUGGAAGGUUGUGGAACUUGAGUUAGGAAAGCGAAGCAAACUACUCUGGGCCAUGUGGUAUGAUUCUGGAUUAGUCACAAUUUUACAAGUGGCCACAAUUCAAUGCAGUCACUGAAAAAAUGGUGGCUGCUUCCAGGAUCGCACCACAGGGCCCAACAAUGGGACGCUGCCCUCCUUCCCUAACUCAAGCCUGGAGCUCCAGAAAUCUUUGAAAGGGUUCCUGCCUUCAAAAUAACCUGCUCUGAAUCGAGAGUAUUCUACGUUCACCUCUACGCUGACACCUGGUCUCUUAAAUGCCUUCACUGGCAUCCACUUGGCAGGCAGCUGAUUCUAUAGAUAAAGAAGUGUGGAACAUCAUUACCAAUGCAGAAACAAAUCUGGGAGAAGAAAGAACACAUUUCCAAGCUGCCAUGUAAUCAAGUCAGCACCCAAUACCCUUGACAUCUUGUACAUCAGCUGCAUAUGAAAAACAUGCUAAGGCUAUAAGCCACCCUUAAUUAACUACUUUGACUGUGGUUAUUGGGCAUGCUCAGCACAGACCAACCAAUUAUAUUAUAGCUUUUAAGAGCAUGUUUUAUUUCACACAACACUGUAAUGGCUAUUUUGCUCAAGACAUUAGAAAAAUAUAAAUUAAACAUAUAAAUAUUAUCUGAAAACUGUAUUUGAAUCAAAUGUGGUUGUAAGACUCAAUUAUUUGAACCGAAUAUAGUUGAACAAAAUAUAGUUGCCCACUUGUUCCUCUAUUCUAUGUAAUGUCAGUGAA